AGUGAACUUUGUUUGCAUUGGAAAUCCUUUUCUAAAUCCUUUGGCCUUUUGUGGGCUGUAGGUAAUAGAAAAAAUGGUGACGUACAGCCGGAAAAAGC
rnacentral:sRNA from 1 species